GAUGAACGCUGGCGGCGUGCCUAAUACAUGCAAGUCGAGCGGAAAGGCCCUGCGCUUGCGGGUCGGUCGUGUGGCGAACGGGGGAGUAACACGCGAGUAACCUGCCCCUGACAUUGGGAUAACUCUAGGAAACUGGGGCUCAUAUCGGAGAGGAGCUUCUGCAGCAUGUGGGGGGAUGGAAAGUUACGGUGUUGGUGGAUAGACUGGCGGGUUAUCAGCUUGUUUGGGUAGUAGUAGCUUACCAAGGUUUUGACGGGUAGCCGGCCUGGGAGGGUGACCGGCCACCAUAGUACUACGGUACGGAGCAGACGCCUACGGGAGGCAGCAGUGGGAAGUAUUGCGCAGUGGGCGGAAGCCUGAUGCGGCGGCGCCGCGAGCGGGAUGACGGCCUACGAGUGAUGAACCGCUUUCGACUGUGACGAGGAGUGCGUGACGGUAAUGGGUAAAAAAGCCCCGGCUAACUACGUG
rnacentral:rRNA from 1 species